rnacentral:rRNA from 1 species
GUCGAACGGAGAACAUUGAGCUUGCUUAAUGUUCUUAGUGGCGGACGGGUCAGUUACACGUGAGUAACCUGCCUCUGAGAGUGGGAUAGCUUCUGGAAACGGAUGGUAAUACCGCAUAACAUCAUGGAUUCGCAUGUUUCUAUGAUCAAAGAUUUAUCGCUUAGAGAUGGACUCGCGUCUGAUUAGCUAGUUGGUAAGGUAACGGCUUACCAAGGCGACGAUCAGUAGCCGGACUGAGAGGUUGAUCGGCCACAUUGGGACUGAGACACGGCCCAGACUCCUACGGGAGGCAGCAGUGGGGAAUAUUGCACAAUGGGGGAAACCCUGAUGCAGCGAUGCCGCGUGGAGGAAGAAGGUUUUCGGAUUGUAAACUCCUGUUGAAGAGGACGAUAAUGACGGUACUCUUUUAGAAAGCUCCGGCUAACUACGUGCCAGCAGCCGCGGUAAUACGUAGGGAGCGAGCGUUGUCCGGAAUUACUGGGUGUAAAGGGAGCGUAGGCGGGAUGGCAAGUCAGAUGUGAAAACUAUGGGCUCAACCCAUAGACUGCAUUUGAAACUGUUGUUCUUGAGUGAGGUAGAGGUAAGCGGAAUUCCUGGUGUAGCGGUGAAAUGCGUAGAGAUCAGGAGGAACAUCGGUGGCGAAGGCGGCUUACUGGGCCUUUACUGACGCUGAGGCUCGAAAGCGUGGGGAGCAAACAGGAUUAGAUACCCUGGUAGUCCACGCCGUAAACGAUGAUUACUAGGUGUGGGGGGACUGACCCCUUC